CCUACGGGAGGCAGCAGUGAGGAAUAUUGGUCAAUGGACGAGAGUCUGAACCAGCCAAGUAGCGUGAAGGAUGACUGCCCUAUGGGUUGUAAACUUCUUUUAUAAAGGAAUAAAACGAGGCACGUGUGCCUUUUUGCAUGUACUUUAUGAAUAAGGAUCGGCUAACUCCGUGCCAGCAGCCGCGGUAAUACGGAGGAUCCGAGCGUUAUCCGGAUUUAUUGGGUUUAAAGGGAGCGUAGAUGGGUUGUUAAGUCAGUUGUGAAAGUUUGCGGCUCAACCGUAAAAUUGCAAUUGAUACUGGCAGUCGUGAGUACAGUUGAGGUAGGCGGAAUUCGUGGUGUAGCGGUGAAAUGCUUAGAUAUCACGAAGAACCCCGAUUGCGAAGGCAGCUUACUAAACUGUGACUGACAUUGAUGCUCGAAAGUGUGGGUAUCAAACAGGAUUAGAUACCCCAUAGUC
rnacentral:rRNA from 1 species